rnacentral:rRNA from 1 species
AUACGGAGGAUGCAAGCGUUAUCCGGAUUUAUUGGGUUUAAAGGGUGCGUAGGCGGUUUGCUAAGCGGGAGGUGAAAUGCCGGCGCUCAACGUCGGAAGUGCCUCCCGAACUGGUGGACUUGAAUGACUCUGCCGUGGGAGGAAUGUGUAGUGUAGCGGUGAAAUGCUUAGAGAUUACACAGAACACCGAUUGCGAAGGCAUCUCACGAAGGGUUGAUUGACGCUGAGGCACGAAAGCGUGGGGAUCAAACAGGAUUAGAUACCCUGGUAGUCCACGCAGUAAACGAUAAUGACUAACCGUCGGCGAUACACAGUCGGUGGCCAAGCGAAAGCGAUAAGUCAUCCACCUGGGGAGUACGUUCGCAAGAAUGAAACUCAAAUGAAUUGACGGGG